CAGCUCUCGAGCCCUCAGAGACGGAGAAGCUAGUCCCUAACACGACGGCCAAUCAGGAGCACGAAGAGGUUCCUUGUCCCGCCUCUAUGGGUCAUGUGUAUCCCUUGCUGGCCUGGAACUCUAUGUAGAAGAGGAUGCUGGGACCACGGGCAUGCCCCACUGUGCCUGAUUUAUGUGGUACUGUGGAUCACACCCAGAGCUUCAUUGAUGAUACAGGUGAGUUUGAAGCCAGCCUGGUCUACAAAUCAACUCCCAGGAUAGCCAGGACUGUUACACAGAGAAAUCCUGUUUCGGAAAAACAAACAACAAAAAAGAGUUCAAAUAUUAGUGGAAGAGACUUUGCCAGAUGAGGAUCUGAAAACCAUACAGAAGCAAGAUUUGGCACCCGCAUCCAAGAGCUGCUUCAGGUUAAGUGUAUACA
rnacentral:lncRNA from 1 species